ACAGGCUGUGUAUUGGAGGUGGAUGCACCGUGUCUAUAUUCAGUCAUUUCAAAGCCGCCCCCUCCCUCUCCGUCUCCUGCCCGCUCAGCCUUGGCCGAGAGGCGCUGGCUCGUGUCAUCGCUCUCGGGGGCAUUCCUCCUCCCCCGGUCCUGUUAGUCUCUCUGUUUACCUGUCUGCUUUAGUCUGCCGGCGAGUCCGUCUGUCUUCUCGUGUCACCUUGCUGCUGUGGUGUGCCGGGCCUCGCUGCUUCUGCUUCAGCCCGACACCGGUCCGCAGAUCCCAGACAGCACGGGUCUCGCGUUCUUUUUAUUAGGAAUUCCAGCGUGGCUGUGCUCUGGGCUCUCGUUAGCAGCAGCAGGGUUACAAUGGUUUUCCAAAAGUCCGCUCUUGAAUGAGCGUGGACGUUAGCAGGAGCGCUGUAGUCGCAGGUCCUGUGAUUCUUCCCCCAUCGCCCUUCCAGCCGUCUUCUGAGGAUGCGGUAAACACUUCAGAGCUAUGUUUGCCGUUUGCAUUUGAUGUUGCUACGACCGGCGCAUCCCAAUGCUGAAGGACACCUUGCGCAUAUCUCAAAGAUGCGAGGAGCUUUGAUGCUCCGGGAGUGACAGCAGGUUGAUAAUGGCAGUUUGAACGUGGCUAUGGAGUCUGCCGCAGCAUUUUUUUAAGACGUUUAAAACUCAUUGGCAAUUGUAUGCAACAUACAAAUCUUCUCCCUCUGCUUCUCUGACCAAGUGAGGAGACGUCUGCAUCGUGAUCAACAUCGUCAGCAUCAGCAAGGACCAGCAGCUCAAAAGCCACAUGGAGCAGCUUCAUAGCGCAUCAUUAGUUAGCUAUGCUAACAUUGCUGUGAAUUUGGGGGAUGAGUAAGAAAGAAUGUGUCCUGUGGGAAAGCUUAGCUUCUCUUCAUGUUGGCGGACUGCUAUCUGUGAUCCAGAACAAAGUACAUACAGUUCUUGCACGCUCAUGAAUGGGCUGAUGAAAAUGGUGUGUUUAUUUACACCCUUCAAAUAAUGAACUAAAAAAAAAUAUUACACUGGUAUUUCAACAGUUUGAGCUCCAAGACUUUUGAGUCGGGAGGUCGUCCUUCCAUCAACUUUAAUCUUUAGCUCCAGCUACAGACUGUCUAUCUCAUUCAAGUCAAGUCUCUGGCCUGCCACCCCCAAAACUCAAUAUUGGUUUCAAUCUUGUUGGCAAAUAUAAAAGAUUACUUUAAACCUAUGGUGUGGUUUCAUUUUCAAACUUAAGA